AUCUACGACCAUGCCACCCUGAGCAAGCCCAAUCGCUUCUGAUUUCGAAAGCUAAGCAGGGUUGGGCCUGGUUAGUACUUGGAUGAGAGCCCACCUAGGAAGACCAGGUGCUGUAGGCA
rnacentral:rRNA from 1 species